AACCCUAGCCCCCCACUUCCCCCUUUCCCUCGAUCUCUCUCUUCUCCUCACGUGAAACCGAUGCUGCCGUCGCCAUGGCCGCGACCACCGUGCUCCCCGCGCCGCGAGAAGACGCCCAGAAGGACUGCCACGGUCCACUUCGUCCAUCCCGAGGACCGAAUCGACCGGGGAAGGCCCGUACACUCGCCAUCGCCACCAUCUUCAUCUUGUACAUCGCCGCGGCCUCGACGUCGAUCCGCAUCACCUCGUCCAUCCCGACCUCGUACGAGGUCACCACCGACCUCCUCUCGACCCCGUGACGAUGCUGAUGCCCCUGUGAUCGACUACGUCACCGACGACCCCUCCUUCUCGCCUGAGCAACCAGGCAAGCCCCCCCUUUGAUCAUCCCGAUGACGGAGUCCAGGAGCCAGAUGACACCUUUGACGACUGCUACUACACCAAGGGCGUCUGCUACCACGUGACGGAGACCGCCGAUGACCAGGAGUAGUUAGGAGGCUCCCAGGCAGGAGGCCUUGCCUUUUCGAUCAUAGAUGCUUUUGUGCUAGCCUUCUUAAGGCAAACUUGUUUAACUUAU